GAGAUUUUAGGAGCUUAUGAAAAGUAAUUUUAGAAAACUAACAAAUGGCUCAUAUAUAUAGUAUAUUUAAUUAUAGUUUGGAACUUAUAAAAAUUUGGCACAUCAUGGAUACUAAAUUUAUUUCUUUAUUUCUAAUUUUAAUCAUUUCAAUUUACUAUAGAUGCUUCAAUGAAAUAAAAAAGAAUAAGUGUAAUGCAUAGAUGCAGAGGUGUGCG
rnacentral:lncRNA from 1 species